CAAUCGGCCCUUUUCAGGGCCACCAAAAAUAAUUCAAACACAAUUU
rfam:Lasius niger Lnig_2.1_13362, whole genome shotgun sequence.